GGGGUUAUAGUUUAAGGGGUAAAAUGGUUGGUUGUCAUCUGACUAAUAUGGGUUCGAGUCCUGUUAAUCUCG
rnacentral:tRNA from 1 species